AACAACGUUACACUAUUGAGAGUUGCGCAAGAUGUAAAAAGGAACAUGGUUUGUUUACUUGCUGUAUUGAACACAGAUAGCUCCGUCUACAAUUUGAUCGAUUGUUAACAUUUAAAAAUACCUAAAGUUGUAUUACAAAAGUAGUUUGAAAUAUUUUGGCAAAGUUUACAGCCAACUUUUGAAAUGUUUUGUAGUGACGUUGCGUUUUGUGGCAUCUGUUUUUUUCUGGAUCAAACGCGUCAAAUAAAUGGACAUUUGGAUAUAUAUGGACGGAAUUAAUCGAACAAAAGGACCAAUUGUGAUGUUUAUGGGACAUAUUGGAGUGCCAACAAAAGAAGCUUGUCAAAGAGGACAGUGAAGACCAUGAUUGUGACUUAAAAGCAGUUUGCUUGGCUAAAGCCUCCACCACCCUCAGCAGACAAAGUUCCAGAGGUAGAGUCCCAGGGGUCCGUGCAGGGUCUCGUAGGGACUACCAAAGGCAUUGUACAUAAAGAAGCCUGUGGCCACAGAGGAGAAGAAGAUGAGCACUACGCAGAAGAAGAUCACAGUGACGUGAAGACUGGCUGGGAUGACGUCCACCAAGUUCGGAAAAACUACAAGGAGAGGGACAAUAUAGAGAGGUGUGGGAAUGUUCUAUAAUUAUUCAAUUGUAUUUUCCCCCCCCCACAACUUUCACGUGAUGAAACACAUGCAUGCGUCUCUGUAUUCUAUUAGUUUAACGUGCAAGGCAGAUGGAACAAACAGUCAGAGAACAAAUCGUUUUUUGUUCAUCUAAAAAGGCCUCACCAUGAUUAGCAAGCCUGCCGGUCAAGCGAAAAGAUAAUGUGUGUGUGCCAAAUCUCAUUAGUGAAAAAUUGCUGAUGAUUCACUCCAUUGUGCUUGUGUAAGAUGUGUUACUGCAUUUACUGCUAUUUAGUGCUACUUGCUGAGUUAUAAGAGAUGCCCUCUUAUGAAUGACCAAUUAACCUAGUUGAAGGCAGUUGGGUUUCCCCUGUAAGGCUAGCCUUCAUCAUUUUGAUAACAGGUUUCUCUUCACUCCAUUUACAUUUCUCUUUCUUUGUUUGAUUUGAGUUUGUUGUUAACACUAAAUAACAAUGUUCUUCUGACAUUCCAAAACGUGUCAACUUCAUAUUCAUCAUAUGUGAAAACGGCGGAUUUCUAUGAAGACCAGAUUUCUGUAUGUCAUAACUUAAGCUUACCAGUAGUUAAGACAUCACUUUUACAUCAUCUGUUGUAACCUUUAUUGGGAUUUUAACCAACUCUGAGUUGGCAUAGGUUAGUAAAGUUAUGUCAAAAAUGUUUACUGAUAAUGCGCCAUUUUCAAAUGCAUUGGUGUUGGGGUAGUGCUGUAGAUGAAUAUGAAGUUUAAAAAAUAUUCCUUUGAGGUAUUUCUACCCCCUGCGAGGGUAGGCUAUGUGCACAUUUACACGUGGCCAUGUCUCCGUGACCCACAUUUGUGUACAGGUUUACUGUAUGUGUAGCCUAGUCUAGUAUCAGACGUGAAUGUUCAAUGCAUUUUUACAGCAGCAUUAUGCAUCUCCGCAGCCUGUAAAACCAUUAUCAUAAAACAGGUUGUUUGAAUACAGGAUUCUGAUUGGUUGAUAGCAAGGAGUUAUAGCACCACAAUCGCGUAUUCUCCGGGUAAUGCCUGUUAACAGUUCCAUUAGAUAGUCCCAUGCGACUAGGCUAACAUUUGUGACCAGAUUCAAGAUCUAGUAUUUUUCUCCUACUUGUCUCUAGUGGGUUAACAAGCUUCUCAGAUGUUAAAGAAGCAUAACUUUCCCAUGUUUCACCCAACUGUAGUGUAUGAUAUAGCAUUUUGAUGUCUGUACUUUUAUAAAUGUUUGGUUUGCAACAGUUGGGGUUUGUCUGAACCUUGCCAUCUGCCUCUCCGACCUGUGGAACAAUGUUUCAGUUUUUUUGCGAUUUACCCUGUGCCACGCAUAUAAAUGUGAAGAGACUGACAGCU